GACUAUUAAAAUUUAAAAUACAUCAAGACCUUUUUUGAUCUUGAUGGAUAUUCAAUUAAUAAUAUAUUCAUAACAAAUAAGAAUUAAUAAGUUUUUUUUAUUAAAUUGAAAGGUGAAAUAAAUUAUAAUGCAAAGCCAAUUACUAGUUCCCAAGCAUUUAAUACAGAUUUAAUACAGGCGAUGAGAAUUUAUUUUUGGUGGCUGAUUUAAUAGAAGCAAAUUACAGAAUAUGGAAGACUGAGCUUAUUACCAGAUUGUUUCCCCCUGAGAUUGCCACGGCCAUCUGUUGUAUUCCACUAUCUGAAUAUGUUGACGAUGAUGUGCCAGUUUGGAAAGGAGAACAUACAUGACUUUACACAGUCAGGAGUGGUUAUCAAAUGUUAACCUAUGCCUCUGAUUAUACAGACUCUACCCAAGGUAAUAUUGACUUUUACAAAAAAAUUUGGUCUCUCCAAAUCACUCCCAAAAAUAAGAUAGCAAAUUGGAGAAUAAUACACAAUUUUAUUCCUACAGCAUCUAUACUUUACAAUAGAAGACUUGCUAUUUCCCCUAUGUGUCCCCGCUGUAAUAUUGAAGCUGAGACUCCGCUACAUAUAAGCACACGGUGUGGCCCUGCACAGGAAGUUUGGAGACAGGUUAAUCUUGAAUGGACUCUAUCUGGUAACCAUGAGGACUACUGGAGCUGGUUUACUCACCUAAUGAGAUCGAGUGACACCCACGCCUGUUUUACCAUCGCCAUUACAAUUUGGGGUUUGUGGUAUGCUCGUAAUAGACAUGUCAUGGAAGGGAAACAACAACAUGCACUAGAAAUUAGUGCCAAAGUUAUCAGCCUUGUUCGUGAACUCAAGGAGUUCAGAGCGAAAUUACCCGAGGCAAGGAUAACGAUGAAGCAAAGCUGGACCCCCCCGACGGAUCCGAUGCUCAAGCUUAACUUUGAUACUGCUUUUCAUGCCCAAAGCCGACAGUCUUCUUCUGGUUUUGUUGUUAGGAACGCCCAAGGCCAGGUUUUGGGAAGUGGUAUGGUACGGAACAAUUUUGUCUCUGAUCCUUUCAUGGCUGAAAUGCUUGCUUGCCUCGGAUGGUCUGCGAUUUGCCACUGACAUGGGUUUCAAGAAUUUAGUGGUUGAAGGGGACUCAAGAUCUACUAUUGUGCGUAUUACUGAGAUGGGUAGGGAUAGAUCUGCAAUUGGGGUUUAUGUUGAAGAAAUUAAGCAAAGAGCUAGAAUGUUUGAUAAAAUAAUUUUCAGAUCUGUUGAUAGGAACGCGAAUCGGGUGGCCCAUAUUCUAGCUAAAGCAAGAUCUACUUUCAAUGAAGACCGAUUUUGGGUAGAGGAUGUACCUGAUAUGGCUGUGUUGGUGGUGAAGGCUGACUGCCCGAUCCCAGUUGCGCCGGAUUAAGGUUUUUCCGUCCUCAGCUAGGGCUCCUUCAUGCUUCAAUUUGGAGCUUCCUUACACUCUUUUGGAUUUAGUUUUGAAACCCUGGUUUUUGCCUUUUCUUUUCUUUAUCUCCUAUCCCAGGAAACCGAGGCUAAUGGGUAUCUUUAUUUAUUGCGCACCGUUUUGUUUAGCUUCUUUAAUAACUGUGCCUCGGUAUUAUUCAAAAAAAAAACAUGAGUUUUAACAAUUAUUCUAUUUAAAUUAAAACAAAGUAAUAUUACUUUCUUAAAAGAAUAGUUUUAAGUGAUUUUAUAAUAAAAAACUCAAACUUAUAAUAAUAUAAUGAAAGAAGUAUAAUUCUAUCACAAAUAAAAAAAAUCAUCACAUAAAAUUUAUAAAACAUAUUUUAUAUAAUUAUAAACAAUAUUAGAUUAUAAAACACAUGAAUGAAAAUAGGAUUAUGUAGUAUAUAUUUAUAAAAAGUUUAAUAUUUAAUUGAAUGGUAAAAUAAAAAUGUUUAGAGUGGGAUUUAAAAUUUGAAUUAUUGUGCCUGAAAUAAAUUAAUUAGGAAAUAUCAAAGGAAAAUAAUCAGCUUGGUUUUUGCCCCACACAAUGCACCGCAGCAACUCUUCUCCCCAUCUUAUCUUAUCUUUUCUAGAGAAACCCUAAUUCACCUCUGCCUUUCUUACCUACUUAACCCAAUAAAAUGGUAGAAUUCUGAAGGGAAAGAAAAACUUUACCUUAAAACAGAAAAAAAGAAUCCUUCCUUCAACUCUAAAAUAUUUACUUUUUCCAUAUCUCCAAGGAAGCCCCAAUUAAAAUUUCACAGUUUUUUUUUUUUGGGGGGGCUUUGGGGCUGUAAACUAUUUUACUGAACUGCUAUUCGUGAUGAUGGAAAAUUCAAGUUUCCCAGAAAGUAAUACAGUCGGCGACAACGUCAGCUUAGAGAAUGAAGAGGAAGCUAAGGUGAAAAAUGAAGAGAGUGAAGGGAAUUUUUCAGGGAACCGUUGGCCAAGGCAGGAGACUUUAGCUUUGUUAAAGAUAAGGUCUGAAAUGGACGUUGCUUUUAGAGACUCUGGUGUCAAGGCUCCUCUCUGGGAAGAAGUUUCCAGGUUUCCUUCCUUUCCUUUUCUUCUCAACCAUGUUUGAUUAUUUUUGAAGUAGGAAAAUGUUGGGUCCUCCACUGAAAAAGUGGGGAAAUUUUGGGUUUUUGCUUAGCUUGGGAUAUUGAUUUCCUUCUAGUUCAAUUAUACUGUAAAUGCAGUAAAAACGUUUUAUGGGUAAAAAACAAGUCUUUUUUUAAAAACUACUUUGUUUCCAUUACACUCUCAAAGUUCAGUAAUCUUAACAAUCUUUUAAAUUUUUUUACUUUUAUUACAUUAUUGUCAAGUUAAAGUAAUUGAUUUCGAGGUGCAAUAAUGGGAUUCCUUUAUCAGGAAAUUGGCUGAGCUCGGGUAUAAUAGAAGUGCCAAAAAAUGUAAAGAGAAAUUUGAGAAUGUUUACAAAUACCAUAGGAGAACCAAAGAAGGUCGGUCUGGAAAAUCAAACGGCAAGAAUUAUAGGUUUUUUGAGCAAUUAGAAGCAUUGGAUCAU
rnacentral:lncRNA from 1 species